GACGAACGCUGGCGGCGUGGAUUAGGCAUGCAAGUCGAACGGUAUCAUCCUUUCGGGGGUGAGAGAGUGGCGAACUGGUGAGUAACACGUAGGUUAUCUACCCUCAAGACGGGGACAACCCAGGGAAACUUGGGCUAAUACCGGAUGUGAGCAACUUUUAGUUGUUUGAAAGGUGGCGUAAGCUGUCGCUUGGGGAUGAGCCUGCGUCCUAUUAGUUAGUUGGUGAGGUAACGGCUCACCUAGGCAAUGAUAGGUAGGCGGCCUUAACGGGUGGUCGCCCACACUGGGAUUGAGAUACGGCCCAGACUCCUACGGGAGGCAGCAGUGAGGAAUAUUGGUCAAUGGGCGCAAGCCUGAACCAGCCAUCCCGCGUGAAGGAAGAAUGCGCUACGCGUUGUAAACUUCUUUUCCAGGGGGAGAAUAAUCCUGUCGUGACAGGACUUGACGGUACUCUGGGAAUAAGCAUCGGCUAACUCCGUG
rnacentral:rRNA from 1 species